GGGUCCCACCAGCUACGUAGGAAUACCCUAUCUUGUUUAUAAGAGCUUUGAUACAUGCAAAAUAUUCGAAAACAAUGUCCGAACAUAUAAUUUUCGUCCCGUAAUAUAGCAAAGAUCACAAAAAGGCCAGAAAGAGUACAUUUACGUCAAAAUUUGGAUAGAAAAAAAACGAAUAGAAGAAUUCCAUUUUGACUUCCUCAUUCAUCGGAAAGCUCUCUUUGGGCUUUCCGAAAAGGUAUCACAUGCCAAGUUUGGAAUCACGGUUUAAAAGUUAUAGAGUCAUACAUUUUUAACAAAAAAUAAAGAGAAAACCC
rnacentral:sRNA from 1 species